rnacentral:lncRNA from 1 species
UAGGGUUUCUGGUUCUUUUUCUGUUUUGGGCUGUAUGAUAGUUGGGCUAGAUGUAGUUGGGUUUAGGUUUGGGCUAGGUUAAUAGGGUUUAGUUUACUGGGCUGUGCUAAUUUUGGAUUUGUAAAAAGUGGACAUUGUUUAUUAUUUUGGUUUUUAUUUUUUUGUUUAUUUAAUCUGCAUAGGCCCGGGCUAAAAUUGGGCCUUAUAGCUGCCCAUCUUUGCUCGUUGUCAUGUAACAAGAACGGAGCGAAGACUAAAAAAAAGGCCAAUUUUGCCUGGUCGUGCUGGACCUCAGUGCUCUUCUUCUUCAAAUAGCAUCAUUCCAUCCUACUGCAUCUUCA